rnacentral:rRNA from 1 species
UACGAAGGGGGCUAGCGUUGUUCGGAAUACUGGGCGUAAAGCGCGCGCAGGCGGUCUUCCAAGUCAGUGGUGAAAGCCCGGAGCUCAACUCCGGAACUGCCAUUGAAACUGUUGGACUUGAGUACGAGAGAGGUGAGUGGAAUUCCCAGUGUAGAGGUGAAAUUCGUAGAUAUUGGGAAGAACACCGGUGGCGAAGGCGGCUCACUGGCUCGUAACUGACGCUCAGGCGCGACAGCGUGGGGAUCAAACAAGG